UACGUAGGGUGCAAGCGUUGUCCGGAAUUAUUGGGCGUAAAGGGCGCGUAGGCGGCCUGCUAAGUCGAACGUGAAAUCCCUGGGCUCAACCCAGGAACUGCGUCCGAUACUGGUUGGCUUGAAUCCGGGAGAGGGAUGUGGAAUUCCAGGUGUAGCGGUGAAAUGCGUAGAUAUCUGGAGGAACACCGGUGGCGAAGGCGACAUCCUGGACCGGUAUUGACGCUGAGGCGCGAAAGCCAGGGGAGCAAACGGG
rnacentral:rRNA from 1 species